rnacentral:rRNA from 1 species
GAUGAACGCUAGCGGCAGGCUUAACACAUGCAAGUCGAGGGGCAGCGCGAUGUAGCAAUACAUUGGCGGCGACCGGCGCACGGGUGCGUAACACGUAUGGAAUCUGCCCUGUACUGGAAGAUAACCCGGCGAAAGUCGGACUAAUAUCCCAUAAUAGCCGAGGUGGCAUCACCUUGGUUUGAAAGCUCCGGCGGUACAGGAUGACCAUGCGCACGAUUAGCUAGUUGGUGAGGUAACGGCUCACCAAGGCUACGAUCGUUAGGGGGCCUGAGAGGGUUAUCCCCCACACUGGUACUGAGACACGGACCAGACUCCUACGGGAGGCAGCAGUGAGGAAUAUUGCGCAAUGGAGGCAACUCUGACGCAGCCAUGCCGCGUGCAGGAAGAAGGCGCUACGCGUUGUAAACUGCUUUUUAUCCGGGAAGAAACCCCCAGGACGUGUCCUGGGUUGACGGUACCGGAGGAAUAAGCACCGGCUAACUUCGUGCCAG